AACGCACGAGACCUGCGGACCUGCGGAGGGAUCAUUACCGAGUUUACAACUCCCAAACCCCUGUGAACUUAUACCUUUACUGUUGCUUCGGCGGGUCAUUGCCCCGGGGAAACAGGUGCCGCCAGGUCCCUGCCCCCCCGGAAACAGGCGCCCGCCGGGGGACUCAAACUCUUCUGUAUUUUUUGUUUACUGUAUACUGUCUGAGUAAAAAUUCAUAAUGAAUCAAAACUUUUAGCAAUG
rnacentral:misc_RNA from 1 species